AGACACGUAUUACCGGCUUUCUUCUGUGUUUGACGCGUGGUUACUACAACAUAAAAGUUCGUCCCUAUACUGCUCUCUGCUUCUCAUCCUUAUCACUGCUGCUCCGUUGGGAAAUUCUGACAUCUCCCUGUUCAGUUUACCGCUUCCGCUUGCACAUAUCUGGACUACCUCUUCCAAGUUUUUGCGAUUUGGCUCAUAUGCAAUUAAGAUGAGUGACUUCUUGGAAAAUCUGAGAUUGGACAUUUUAGGAGUUCAACCGCUGAAGUGUUGGAGGGGUCUGGUUUCUCUAUGUGCACCACAGAAGAAAAGGUUUACAUAGCGAUUCCAAACUGUAGCUUAUCUUCAACAAAUCUGGUGGCUUGAAGUUGAUGGGGAUCUCGAGUUGCAAGGUGACAAAGAGACAUAGUCGUCGAGUUGCAACUCCACUUACGUUUUCAUCUUGAAUAAUUAGUGUUUGAAACUGAACCCGCUGAUCCCUACUUUCUCUUGGCCGAAAUUUGUCCACGGACUGAACUUUGCAAGUCCAUUCUUUAGUCGAUGGUGUAAUUUCAUUGAUCGUAAGUCUUUGUUCCAUUCUAUCAGUAUAACCUGCAUAUAAAUAACAGCAAAAUUGCUGUCAUAUAGUUUAUUUGUCGGUAAAUUUGCUGCCUUAUAUUUGGAUGCUUUGUUCUUACAAUUUUGCUGUUAUUAAUAUGCAAAUUAUACUGAUAGAAUGGAAAAUUACACCAUCGACUAAAGAAUGACUUGCAAAGUUCAGCUCGUGGACAAAUUUCGGCCAAGAGAAAGUAGGGAUCACCGGGUUCGGUUUGAAACAAUAAUUGUUUUAGAUGAAAACGUAAGUGGAGUUACAACUAUAACGGUAAUAUAAGAUGUUCUAACUUGUACUCUUUCAAUAUUUUGAAUUAUUCGUCGCAAUAAAAUUGUAAGAAGAACAAAUUUGUGUAAUACUGUAUGGUGAUGACAUUGGACAAUGUGAUAAGUUGUUGUUCCAACUUUUCGAGACGUAUCUCAUUUCAACUGCCAUAGUUAGAGAUCCACGACCCUAUUCAAUACACAUUGGUCAGUUUGAAUGGGUUUUCGACAAGUUCACUAUUGUGGAGUCUAUUCCAAAGAAUAAUGAAAAAGAGGCACUGUUACCACCUCCGAGGAGUCUACAUGUCGAACAACAACCUUGUGGUGUUGAAUUUGGUUAGCUAUACUUCCUGUAAUUCUUCCAUGCUUCCCUUUCAGAAAACAAUGUCUCAUGAACCAACUUUUGAUAGUUGGUGUGAUAUUGUGCUACUUCUCUUUUAGGUUCGAAAGAGAAAUUGUCCCUUUUCCCCUAGUUUCCGUUCAUCAGUUUCUCAGUAUCGCUUAACCUAGCUAAGCAUAUGUUGACUUUAAAGAUGAUGAAUAAAAGUUAAAUCUUUUAAUAGUGAAGCAUGGAAGAAUUACGGAAAGUAUAGCUAAUCAAAUUCGACACGGCUGUUGUUCGACAUGGAGGAAUGAAUCAUAUGUAGACUCCUCGGAGGAGGUAACAGUGCCUCCUUUUCAUUAUUUUUUGGAACAGACUCCACAAUAGUGAACUUGUCGAUGACCCAUUCAAACUGACCGAUGUGUAUUGGUUAGGGUUGUUGAUCUCUAACUUUGGCAGUUGAAAUGAGAUACGUCUCAAAAAGUUGGAACAACAACUUAUCACAUCGUCCAAUGUCAUCACCAUACGGUAUUACACAAAUUUGUUCGUCUUACAAUUUUAUUGAGACGAAUAAUGCAGCAAAUAUUGGAAGAGUACAAGUUAGAACAUCUUAUGUUACCGUUAUAGUUGUAACUCCACUUACGUUUUCAUCUUGAACAAUUAUUGUUUGAAAUCGAACCCGGUGAUCCCUGCUUUCUCUUGGCCGAAAUUUGUCCACGAGUUGAACUUUGCAAGUCCAUUCCUUAGUCGUCAUUGAUCCUAAAACAGAAGUAGCACGAUAUCACACCAACUAUCAAAAGUUGGUUCAUGAGACAUUGUUUUUUCCCCUGAAUUAGUCUGUGCUUUACAAUAGCUUGGUUACUUAGAACCCAUGGUGGAUGUUAGU